UACGUAGGGUGCAAGCGUUGUCCGGAAUUAUUGGGCGUAAAGAGCUCGUAGGCGGUCUGUUGCGUCGGCUGUGAAAACCCGGGGCUCAACUCCGGGCCUGCAGCCGAUACGGGCAGACUAGAGUUCGGCAGGGGAGACUGGAAUUCCUGGUGUAGCGGUGAAAUGCGCAGAUAUCAGGAAGAACACCUAUGGCGAAGGCAGCACUCUGGGACGGUACUGACGCUGAGACGCGAAAGCGUGGGAGCGAACAGG
rnacentral:rRNA from 1 species